rnacentral:rRNA from 1 species
AUUGAACGCUGGCGGCAUGCUUUACACAUGCAAGUCGAACGGUAACAGGGUGCUUGCACCGCUGACGAGUGGCGAACGGGUGAGUAAUGCGUCGGAACGUGCCGAGUAGUGGGGGAUAACGCAUCGAAAGGUGUGCUAAUACCGCAUACGUACUGAGGUAGAAAGUGGGGGACCUUCGGGCCUCACGCUAUUCGAGCGGCCGACGUCUGAUUAGCUAGUUGGUGAGGUAAAGGCGCACCAAGGCAACGAUCAGUAGCGGGUCUGAGAGGAUGAUCCGCAACACUGGGACUGAGACACGGCCCAGACUCCUACGGGGGGCAGCAGUGGGGAAUUUUGGACAAUGGGCGCAAGCCUGAUCCAGCCAUGCCGCGUGUCUGAAGAAGGCCUUCGGGUUGUAAAGGACUUUUGUCCGGGAGCAAAUACCCAGUGCUAAUAACGCUGGGGGCUGAGAGUACCGGAAGAAUAAGCACCGGCUAACUACGUGCCAGCAGCCGCAGUAACAC